GGUAAGAUCCUGUAAUCCCGGAAGGACGACCAGUGGCGAAAGCGUUUAACUAGAACGAAUCUGACGGUAAGGAACGAAGGCUAGGGUAGCAAACCAGAUUAGAUACCCGGGUAGUCCUAGCUGUAAACAUUGCCCAUUUGAUGUUGCUUUCCCGUUGAGGGAAGGCAGUGUCGGAGCGAAGGUGUUAAAUGGGCCGCUUGGGAAGUAUGGUCGCAAGACUGAAACUUAAAGGAAUUGACGGGGGAGCACCGCAACGGGAGGAAUGUGCGGUUUAAUUGGAUUCAACGACGGAAAACUCACCGGGAACGACCUGUGCAUGAGAGUCAACUUGACGAGCUUACUCGAUAGCAGGAGAGGUGGUGCAUGGCCGUCGUCAGCUCGUACCGUAGGGCGUUCACUUAAGUGUGAUAACGAGCGAGACCCACAUCUUUAAUUGCAAAUGUAUAUGGGAAUAUGCAUGCACUUUAGAGAAACCGCCAGCGCUAAGCUGGAGGAAGGAGUGGUCGACGGCAGGUCAGUACGCCCCGAAUUUCCCGGGCCACACGCGCAUU
rnacentral:rRNA from 1 species